rnacentral:rRNA from 1 species
GACAGAGGGUGCAAACGUUGUUCGGAAUUACUGGGCGUAAAGCGAGUGUAGGCGGUGUGGUAAGUCGGAUGUGAAAGCCCCGGGCUCAACCCGGGAAGUGCACUCGAUACUGCCACGCUAGAGUAUCGGAGAGGUUGGUGGAAUUCUCGGUGUAGAGGUGAAAUGCGUAGAUAUCGUGAGGAACACCAGAGGCGAAGGCGGUUACCUGGACAGUUACUGACGCUCAGGCACGAAAGCAUGGGGAGCAAAAGGG